UUCGUCCACUGCGGAUGGUUCGGAGCACGAAGGUUUUGAGUUCAUGUUGAACCAUAAGAAGUGUGUCCUCCAUUUUGUCCAGGAGUGGUCAAAUAUAGUUGAGCUGCAUUCAGAGAAGACGUGACCAUCAAUGCUUUCCUGAAGGAGUUAUAUAUUUGUGUAAUGAGUGACCUGCAGGACUACCCGACUUUGAAAGAUGACCUUAAACCUUUUGAAACAAUUCUCAAUACUCAAAUUGGUUCUCCGGCCAACAAAAUGAAAAAGCGUUCUUCAGGCACGUUCUCGUUUUCACGGAAGCAGGUGAAGGAAUGCUUUCAAAACGCCCCAAAGAGUCGCAAACCCUUCAGACCUACAGAUGAGAUUAUAUUCAAAUUCUAUUGUGCGGACCACUCCUAUACUAAGCUCAAGUUGCCGUUGGAAACAAAAGUUGGAUCACUGUUGGAAUCUACCAUAGAGAAGCUCGGUCUCGGUGAAGACCUCAUACUCUGUGAAGUGAAAUCUACAUGAGAGCGGGUCAUUUUCAAGGACAAUGACCUCUGUGUAACCACUGGACUCAGCAUUAAUGGGCGCCUGUUUGUUACCCCCAAGGAACAUCUAAAUGCGCUGACGCCCCUCCCCGAGCAAGAGGGUCCCACAGAGAGCACAUUCUCCAGCAUCGAGGGGUUCAGUUCCCGGGAGAUGGCGUACCACCUGACCAUGUACGACUGGGAGCUCUUCACCUGCGUUCAGGAGUAUGAGCUGAUCUACCAGGUGUUUGGCCGCUACAAGUUUGCCAAGAUCAAGUUUGCGUGUAAAUACUAGGCCAACCUGGACACUUUCCUCCAGCACUUCAACCAGAUCCAGUUCUGGGUUGUCACAGAGAUGGUCCUGUGUACCAACCUUAGUAAACGGGUCUCCUUGCUGAGGAAGUUCAUCAAGCUUGCUGCACACUGCAAAGAGUUCCAGAACUUGAACAGUUUCUUUGCUAUUGGGAUGGGCCUCAGUAACAUAGCUGUCAGUCACCUGUCACAGACCUGGGAGAAACAAAGAAAGGCAGAAAAAGAUGUGUUUCAUAAAGCCAAGACAUUAUUAGUGAAAUGCUUUUUGUUAAUGAAUUUAAACCCCCUUUCCAAAAAUCCUCUUCAGUAUGACAAUUUUAUCUUACUGCGUCCAUGUUGAUAAAAAGUAUCCAAAGACUCAAUAUUUGGGACUGUGUAUAAAUGCUGUAUAAAAAUGUAUAUAAUAAAUAUAAUGUAUAGAAAAUUGCUCAGUGUGCUAUUUUUGUAUGAUUUACAUGUAUGAUAAAAUGUGUUUUGUAAAUAUUGUGUAUUUGUUUUUGUAUGAUUUACAUGUAUGAUAACAUGUGUUUUGUAAAUAUUGUGUAUUUAUCUGGAUGUAAAAUUUGUUGUUAUUAUUCAUCAUCUGCAGUAAUUAAAAUGACACAAAUGGGAAAAAAAUAUACAUACAUGUUUAAGCCAUGCAUAAUUUGUGAACUGCUAUUACUUUUAAGAAGUACAAAUAUUAAAAAAUAAAUAUGUCUGUUCUUAGAUAUGUUAUGAUUUUACUUGUCUAUUUUGUUAUGCUUGACAAUUUUCUUCAUCCCUGUAUUUAAAUCAACAUGUAUGCAUUAUGUUUGACAAAUAAUAAAUGAAAACCAUUCAAAUAUGUAUUUGAAAUGUAGAGUCUAUAAUACAUUCACGUGGGUUGGGGAAGGUUGAAAGCAAUAUCUAAUCUUCAUUUCAUAAUGUUAAGUUCUUGCAUAUUUAAAGUGUAGUUUUUUUGUUCUUGUACAGUGAAGUUUUCAUACCAGUACAUGUUAAUGAAAAUCUAGCAUUGCAUUUCAUUACACUUGUUUGUAAAAGUUGUUUAUGUCUGUCAUAUUUUGUUAAGUAUUUACCUGUCCAGAGAUUAAAUGACAAAACAUGACAACGUGUGCCUUGUGAGUAUGCUACGUUGAACUUUUAUGAACAGAACAGAAAGUUUAUUCAUAUAACUUGAACAUUUCCAGUUCAUCGUUAUAUAUACAAAACUGACAAUAUAUAAGCAAUUUAUGUGUUUAUGAACAUUUAUUAUGCAGCUGACAUACACUUACGAAAACAUAUUGGCAAACUUGUAUGAGAGUUGUCACAUAUAGUUUUAUGUUAUAAAGAAUC